GACGAACGCUGGCGGCGUGCUUAACACAUGCAAGUCGAACGAUGAAGCUAGAGCUUGCUCUGGUGAAUUAGUGGCGAACGGGUGAGUAACACGUGAGUAACCUGCCACGAACUCUGGGAUAACUGCUGGAAACGGUAGCUAAUACUGGAUACGACCUACGAAGGCAUCUUCUGUAGGUGGAAAGAAUUUCGGUUCGGGAUGGACUCGCGGCCUAUCAGCUUGUUGGUGAGGUAAUGGCUCACCAAGGCGACGACGGGUAGCCGGCCUGAGAGGGUGACAGGCCACACUGGGACUGAGACACGGCCCAGACUCCUACGGGAGGCAGCAGUGGGGAAUAUUGCACAAUGGGCGCAAGCCUGAUGCAGCAACGCCGCGUGAGGGAUGACGGCCUUCGGGUUGUAAACCUCUUUUAGUAGGGAAGAAGCGAAAGUGACGGUACCUGCAGAAAAAGCACCGGCUAACUACGUGCCAGCAGCCGCCGCCG
rnacentral:rRNA from 1 species